GUAUGUAGAGGAGGGGAGGAAUACGCUUCUUGAGGUGAUCAAAGAAUCAGGAAUGAAGAGAGAGAAAAGAACAAAUCAGGGCCAUGAAUCCCCUUCUGUCUGUUUCUGGCCCUGAGUCAACUUCACCAGUUCACAGGAAAGGAACAUGUAAUCUGGUGAGCUAUCAGAGGAUUGGAGAAACAAGAGCCCUGCCCUUGGAUAAGGUCCUGACCAGGCAGUGGCAGUGAGCCUAGGAGGAAAAAUCUCACCUUGCUUUUCAAGCAUAAAGCUGACAGUUCUACUAGAGGCACACAGGAAGUCACUCUGGCUUCACUGCCGAGAUCCUCUGUACCCAGAAGCAUCUGUUCCCUUUGUGGUUGGGAGGGGACACCAGCCAAGAGAAGAUACUGGGUCAGUCUAGGACUAUAUACUCUGGGGCUAGUCACCAAAUAUUGCAAGAGACAUAUUAAAAACUAUUAGUUAUUCAAAAUACAAAUUUAACUGGGUGCUUUGUAUUUUUUUUGCUCAAUCUCACAACUCUACUUGGUGGCCC
rnacentral:lncRNA from 1 species